rnacentral:rRNA from 1 species
UACGGGAGGCAGCAGUGGGGAAUAUUGCACAAUGGGCGAAAGCCUGAUGCAGCUAUGCCGCGUGUAUGAAGAAGGCCUUAGGGUUGUAAAGUACUUUCAUCGGGGAGGAAAAAACAAAACUAAUAAUUUUAUUUCUUGACGUUACCCGAAAAAGAAGCACCGGCUAACUCCGUGCCAGCAGCCGCGGUAAUACGGAGGGUGCUAGCGUUAAUCAGAAUUACUGGGCGUAAAGAGCACGUAGGUGGUUUUUUUAAAGUCAGAUGUGAAAUCCCUGGGCUUAACCUGGAACUGCAUUUUGAAACUGAAAUACUAGAGUAUCGUAGAGGGAGGUAGAAUUCUAGGUGUAGCGGUGAAAUGCGUAGAUAUCUGGAGGAAUACCUGUGGCGAAAGCGGCCUCCUAAACGAAUACUGACACUGAGGUGCGAAAGCGUGGGGAGCGAAACAGGGAUUAGAUACC